GACUACUGACUUGGACCAGCAGGGGAAUGGCUGUGACAAUAAAUAAGAUUGGGAAAACAAGAAGUCCUUUCCAGGACACUGAAGGCUGCAGAGGUGUGACUGGAUGCUGGUGGAGGGAUGCAUGGCGGGGAAGCUGAGUCAGAUCCUGAAAUCCUCCAAGCAUGCGCCUGAAAUGACCAAGGGAAAUGAAGGCGGAGGCUGCUGUCGCCUGGUGGCCUGGGAAGGGCCAAGAGCCAGGGAGCUGGAGGGAGGAGAGAACGUGCGACCUCAGCACGGAGCACUGUAGGGGAGGCGGGGCUGGAGGGAGAUGGCGCCGCGCUCCCGGAUGAACAGAGAAAGCGACAGGACGCCCUUGCAUACAUUAAGAUAUGUAUAUAUGGAAAUGUUACCGGGAGUCCCGGUUAUCCCAAAAAGGGUUGUUUCCUGUUGCGUGGUGAGGCCAAUGCACGAAACCGAAAGGGAGUGUGUCAAGCAGUGCAGGCUGUAUUCAAUGGCUAUGGAAUUGGAAGAUCUGAAAUCAACUUAGCUUGUGAGAGCUGGGAAGUUUCAGAGUCGUUGUCAUGGCGACAUGUUGUUUAGCAUGAGAACAGGAUGAUGAUAAAGCCAGAGGCUCUUCAGAGGCGCCAUCUUGGAUUUCGCCAGCUUCAGCUGGUUUCGUCCUAAGAAGGAACUUCGAAACACAGGCAUUCUUUUUCCUGAAAAUAAGCAGAGUUACAGCUGAGUAGGAAUUUAGCUCUGUCCCAUAUGCUAUCGCAUUGGGCAGCAAAAGCAGGGUGGGGUCCAGCGAAAUCAGCAGGCACUGCAAUGAGUAACAUACCCAGCCACGUUUAUGCAGCAUUUUUACGAAAAUGAAACCAUACUACCUGUAAAGGAAGAUAUGCUAACAAACAACAAAACUGGCAGGAACCAAGAUUCCUACUGACACUACCCUUAGUUUUAAUUUUCCCUGACAACAAAUGAGGUUAACAGAGCAUAAUUAUCUACCGUGACCCCUUCAAAAAGACAGGCUGUAUACAUUUGCACUAAGAGAAGAAAUCGUGUAAUGUCAGCAAAUUUCCCCCACUUAAAGCUUCUCUAUUUAAAAAGCUUCACGCACACAUGCACGCAUAUGUCUUCAAGAUGACCACAAUUUAUUUUGCAGUCAUUCUUUGCACCAGUUCCCAAUUUUUCCCACUAGCUUGCAAGCUCCGUGACUCGAGGAGACCGGGGGAUCAGAGUUUGUUUUUGCGGAGAAGUGAGUCCUUUAUGCCCCAAAUAGUGACUGACAUAGAGAAGGUACUCAGUAAACACUUUUUAAAGGAAUGCCUGCCUGACUGAAGCUUAAUGAUGUGAGGCUUCUAGUGGGAUACCCUACCUUGUUUUAACCUGAAGUGACUCUUCCUUAGCUAAGAGAGCCAGACGGACUCCAUCGUGACUCCUUCACUCGCAGCCCCUUACCCACCCCCUUCCUCAAGGACUUAACUUGUGCAAGCUGACUCCCAGCACAUCAAGAAUGCAAUUAACUGAUAAGAUACUGUGGCAAGCUAUAUCCGCAGUUCCCAGGAAUUCGCCCGGUUAAUAGCACCCAGAGCCCCUGCGUUUGUGUCCGGUUGAUAACGCCCAAAGCCCGGCGUCCAUCACCUUAGGAUAGACUUAAAGCCUCUGCACCUGGAACUGUUUACUUUCCUGUAACCGUUUAUCCUUUUAACUUUUUGCCUACUUUACUUCUGUAAGAUUGUUUCAACUAGACUCCCCCUCUCCCCUGUCUAAACCAAAGUAUAAAAGAAAAUCUAGCUCCUUCUUCGGGGCCAAGAGAAUUUCGAGCGCUAGCUGUCUCUCGGCUGCCGGCUAAUAAAGGACUCCUGAAUUCGUCUC
rnacentral:lncRNA from 1 species